rnacentral:rRNA from 1 species
GACGAACGCUGGCGGCGUGCUUAACACAUGCAAGUCGUACGGUAAGGCCCUUUCGGGGGUACACGAGUGGCGAACGGGUGAGUAACACGUGAGUAACCUGCCCACAACUUUGGGAUAACGCUAGGAAACUGGUGCUAAUACUGGAUAUGUGCUCCUGCUGCAUGGUGGGGGUUGGAAAGCUCCGGCGGUUGUGGAUGGACUCGCGGCCUAUCAGCUUGUUGGUGGGGUAGUGGCCUACCAAGGCGGCGACGGGUAGCCGGCCUGAGAGGGUGACCGGCCACAUUGGGACUGAGAUACGGCCCAGACUCCUACGUGAGGCAGCAGUGGGGAAUAUUGCACAAUGGGCGCAAGCCUGAUGCAGCAACGCCGCGGGCGGGAGGACGGCCUUCGGGUUGGAAACCGCUUUCAGCAGGGACGAAGCUUUUUGUGACGGUACCUGCAGAAGAAGCACCGGCUAACUACGUG